UGAAUUCACCAACAAGAGGGUCGUUUUAGAGCUAGAAAUAGCAAGUUAAAAUAAGGCUAGUCCGUUAUCAACUUGAAAAAGUGGCACCGAGUCGGUGC
rnacentral:sRNA from 1 species